ensembl:lncRNA
AAAAACUAGCAUCCUGCAUCUCUGAUUUGCCAGAUUCAUCAUAGCAUGCUAAUUAAUAAAUAAAUUAAAAUUUGCAUCCUGCAUCUCUGAUUUGCCAGAUUCAUCAUAACAUGCUAAUUCAUAAAUAAAAAGACACUCUCAAUAUAUAGCUCUUAAAAGAGCCUUUGUGUGUGCUGUCAUAUAGUUAUACAUUGCUUUGAUUUUUAGGGAUUAAACCAAUAAACUACUUUGACUAGUGACUUUACCAUUUGUUUUAUUAAUGUUUAUUUAUAGUGCAAUUUAUUCUGCUUACCUGACUCAUGCAGACUUCUGUCCUGAUGUUUGGCUGUGGUCCCCCCAUCAUCCACUCUUCGGCAACCGGUCUAUUUAUGGAGACCACCGUGAUCUAAUCUAUACAGAUCUAGUUGUCUUUUCUCCUACAAACUCCACUUUUAGGAGUACAGAAGUGUCACCACAAUCAGGAUGUUCAGUGGGGAUUCAUCGGUGGAUUCCACCUAUGGAAAAGUUUAGGCUGGGAGUGUGUUGUCAUACCAGCAGAAACAAUCUGCAUCAUUACUCACCAUCAUGAUGCCCCAUCACCACCACAUCUACCACUUAUUGGUUACAGCCUUGAUACAUCUGUCUGCUUGUUUGUCCAUAGCGAACAUAUUUGUUUUUGUAUGUAACCAACACACUUGUACAGGAAAUGUAACAAUUUAUAUUGACAUGUUUACAUUAUCUACAUUUGUACAAAUAAAUGCAAAUUUAUCAAUUUACA